rnacentral:lncRNA from 1 species
GUGUUUUCUUUCCUUUUAAUUACAGGUGGAACCCAAAGGAUUUAAAUUUUCUUCAUUCUUUAGAAAAUUUUAUAGGAAGGACUCAAGUCCCCCCCAGGCUCCAGAGAAACCUUCAGCCCUUAAAGGUGCAUCCAAAGAAACCCAACCAACUAUUAAAACAGGAAGUCAGAGUACACCUGAAAUUAAAGAAAUAUUUUGUAGAAAAGAAGAGUUUGAAUAUCAUGAUGAGGGGUCCUGGGAAGAAUACCAAAGCUAUUUCCCACAUGGUAUCCAUGUUCCAGAAUCCAGAGAAUCCGUAAGAAUGCCUUUGUUCAUCUUCUAUAGAAAUGCAGGUCUAAUGGUAUUCCAAUUGUGUUGCUUUUUGAAAAUUGGUUUUCUCUGUGGAAUUCAGAGUAUUGUUUGUUUAUUUGUCUGUUUUACCAGUGGAUCUCCAGCUCGCUGGUGUGAUGGCCAUCACUAUAUUCAUUAAAAUUGAACCACAGAGGCAGUUCCCUCAAAAAUGACUGUUCCUGAUCUAUUAAGGAUUGUGUGCCUGCAAUAUAAAUGGGCUGGAAGGUUCCCUGUUGGAAAGACUCUUUCUAUCUUUACCUGUGUCAUUUGCAGCACCAUACGAUAUAUGUCUAUUGUUCUCUAAAUCAUCCAGAGAAAGCCAGGCCAUUGUGACAUAUAUAAUAUGAGCCAAUCCUGACAAUACUUUCCUUUUUAUGAUUGCAGAUUGCUUCCACC